GUCAACUAGCCGUUGGGACUCUUGAAGUCUUAGUGGCGCAGCUAACGCACUAAGUUGACCGCCUGGGGAGUACGGCCGCAAGGUUAAAACUCAAAUGAAUUGACGGGGGCCCGCACAAGCGGUGGAGCAUGUGGUUUAAUUCGACGCAACGCGAAGAACCUUACCUGGCCUUGACAUGCAGAGAACUUUCCAGAGAUGGAUUGGUGCCUUCGGGAACUCUGACACAGGUGCUGCAUGGCCGUCGUCAGCUCGUGUCGUGAGAUGUUGGGUUAAGUCCCGUAACGAGCGCAACCCCUAUCCCUAGUUGCUAGCAGUUCGGCUGAGAACUCUAGGGAGACUGCCGGUGACAAACCGGAGGAAGGUGGGGAUGACGUCAGGUCAUCAUGGCCCUUACGGCCAGGGCUACACACGUGCUACAAUGGUGCGUACAGAGGGCUGCAAACCCGCGAGGGGGAGCUAAUCUCACAAAACGCAUCGUAGUCCGGAUCGGAGUCUGCAACUCGACUCCGUGAAGUCGGAAUCGCUAGUAAUCGCGAAUCAGAAUGUCGCGGUGAAUACGUUCCCGGGCCUUGUACACACCGCCCGUCACACCAUGGGAGUGGAUUGCACCAGAAGUGGUUAGUCUAACCUUCGGGAGGACGAU
rnacentral:rRNA from 1 species